rnacentral:rRNA from 1 species
UAAGGAAUAUUGCUCAAUGGGAGAAAUCCUGAAGCAGCAACGCCGCGUGGAGGAUGAAGGGUCUAUGACUUGUAAACUCCUGUAAAGAAGGAAAAAAUUCCCAUUAGAUGGGAGAUGAUGGUACUUCUGGAGUAAGCCCCGGCUAACUACGUGCCAGCAGCCGCGGUAAUACGUAGGGGGCAAGCGUUGUCCGGAUUUACUGGGUGUAAAGGGUGCUCAGGCGGAUUUGUAAGUCAGAGGUGAAAUCUUACAGCUUAACUGUGAAACUGCCGUUGAUACUGCAAGCCUAGAGUAUGGAAGAGGGUGAUGGAAUAUCUGGUGUAGCAGUGAAAUGCGUAGAUAUCAGAUAGAACACCAAUGGCGAAGGCAGUCACUUGGUCCAUUACUGACGCUAAAGCACGAAAGCGUGGGUAGCAAACA